UGGAACAUAUCAAUGAUUAAUGAAUAGAAUAAACCUCACAAAUUUAUCUUUUGCAGGCUCAAUUUGUAAACUUAAAAGUUAAAUCCAGAUUUAGAAACAUUAAUUUUACCAAUUGUAAAAGCAUUAUUAUGUCUAAACUAUGAACUAUAAGAACGAGCCUUUGUCUUUCUCUGCAAUCUGCAUUCUACGCAAUCUCUCUAAAUUCUCAUCCAUUCCGAUCUCACGCCUCCCUUUUUUCUUCGAGAAAAUCUACUGUUCCAAGU
rnacentral:lncRNA from 1 species